rnacentral:rRNA from 1 species
UACGAAGGGGGCUAGCGUUGCUCGGAAUCACUGGGCGUAAAGCGCACGUAGGCGGCUUUUUAAGUCAGGGGUGAAAUCCUGGAGCUCAACUCCAGAACUGCCUUUGAUACUGAGAGGCUCGAGUCCGGGAGAGGUGAGUGGAACUGCGAGUGUAGAGGUGAAAUUCGUAGAUAUUCGGAAGAACACCAGUGGCGAAGGCGACUUACUGGACACAUAUUGACGCUGAGGUGCGAAAGCGUGGGGAGCAAACAGG